rnacentral:rRNA from 1 species
AGCUCCAAUAGCGUAUAUUAAAGUUGUUGCAGUUAAAAAGCUCGUAGUUGGAUUUUAGAUUAUGUUAAUCGGUCUGCCUAGUGGUAUGAACUGAUUAGCAUUUUCUUCUUCUCGAAGACUAUAUGUGUUCUUAAUCGGAUGUGUAUAGGGUUCGGGACUUUUACUGUGAGAAAAUUAGAGUGUUUAAAGCAGGCGUUUGCUUGAAUAUUGCAGCAUGGAAUAAUGGAAUAGGAUCAUGAUCUUAUUUUGUUGGUUUCUAGGAUCAAGAUAAUGAUUAAUAGGGAUAGUUGGGGGCAUUAAUAUUUAAUUGUCAGAGGUGAAAUUCUUGGAUUUAUGAAAGAUUAACUUCUGCGAAAGCAUUUGCCAAGGAUGUUUUCGUUAAUCAAGAACGAAAGUACGC